UAUCCAUUAUUAAAUCUAGAACUUUUAUAGAAUGUCCUUUGCUCGCACAAAUCAACAAUAUCAAACCACUACCCACGACCUCCACGCUACCAACAAUAUCAAGCUACUACGCGGUCCUCCAGAGCAGCCACCACCACACCAAGCAUCAUCAACAGAGACAUUCAUCAUUUCAACGGAGCGGUAAGAAGUACAUCAUCAAAACAGUGUGGUCAACAUCAUCUGGAACACUGGUGACAACAAGUGGCCAAAAUUUACGGAAACAGUGGUAGCAACGGUGUUGUGCGAUCGAAGACACGAACUCUCGACUUUCUCAAAAUCCAGUACAUGCUGAGACAAGAGUAUCAUAUCCCAUCGCAGGCAAGUUGCGAGGCGUUGUCAUUUCCUACCACGCUCAAAUCGUGGGUUACCACACUCUCCACGUGCUAUCUUCCCUGCCGCUUCUGCCUCUUCGCUCCUGACUCAUCCCCGUGGUCACACCUGUCUGCCAUCACACCUGUCGCCGCCUAUUCCUACUCAUCACGCCGCUCCUCUUUGCUGGUUGCCGUUCAUGCUUCUUCCUGAAUUGUGGGUAUCCCUUGGUUCCUUCUCCGAGCCACCCCCACCUCUCCCAUCCGAGUACUCGAGGUCAAGCCUCAUCACCACCACCACUCCCCACCCAGCCCUUCUCAAUGCCCGGACUCGCCCAAGGUCAUCUUUCCAAGUUUGCUCCCAGCAGUGAUCUUCCCAGUCAUCUGGGGCCAGAUCCACGAAACGGUUAUUAUCAACCUCCGGCAGCCAAAUGGUAUCCACGAACGCAUAAGAGGUUGGUGUUGCCAUGGUAGCAAGGUAGUUACACCACCUCCUGAGGUGGUGUAAGUUAACUCGCCCGAAAACUCUUAUUUAAAUAUUUAUGUGCACAAAAUAACUUUUUUUUUUAUUAUUAUUUACAAGCUUUAUCACCAAGAAAGUAUGGUUUUGUGAUGCAUAAAGUGAAAUCUUGCAUGGAACACUGAAAACGAAGCAUGAAAAGGAAGAGGCUGAUUUGCCCCACACGUGCGCACUCCUCAUUCCGCCUCGCAGCAAUAAGUUUGUAUUGUGAUUAAGUAUUGUUUUCGUCGCUUCUCCUGCAUAUAUUGGAUAUUUUCUUUGCAUACUUCCACGUUCGUGCCUUGAGGCGAGAAAGGCGCUUUUGGAAUUGCCUUGAUUCCUUGGCAUUGAGUGAUAAUGAGCUGAUGCUCAAAUACCACUUCCCUAGGCAGACCUUAUCCUCUUGUUUGAGGAGAUGCAGUCUCAGCUGGAGAGAAGAACAAGGCAAAGCCAGGCAUUACCAACUCACACCCAGGUUUUGCUGGCCCUGAGAUUGUUUGCCAGUGGGUCCUUCCAAAACGUCAUUGGAGACACUGCAGGACUUACGCAAGCGUCAGCAGGGUCUUCGAGUGUGUGUGCAUUGUGUUGAGUGAUAAGUCGGUGCAGGAAAUCAAGAUGCCUUCAACACACCUUGAUCAAAGGAGAACUGCACAGCAGUUCUUCAGGAUCAAAAAUUUCUUAAGAGUUAUUGGGACCAUUGAUGGCACCCACAUUGCCAUCAAGGCCCGAAGAGUGGACGAGGCCCUCUACUUUAACUGGAAAAGCUAUCACUCCCUCUGAAAAUCCAACUUGUUUGUGAUGUGAAUGGAGUGAUCCUCAGCUACUGCUUCAGAUUCCCAGUUGCCUUGGAAAGUGCAUUCCUGGCUGAGUGUGGUGCGUGUGCCUGCUACUCGUGUGGUGGUGCUGCUGCUGCUGCGUGAAUCCUCUGCCGUGGGAACCCACCACAAAUAGCUAAUGGAUUCUGUAUGACGGGAUCAGCAGCAGACAGAAUUGCAGUGAUGU